rnacentral:sRNA from 1 species
ACUGCCCCAUCUAUACCACCACCCCGUCUAUACAAGCACCACCCCCAUCUACACCAUCCCACCAUCUACGCCAUUGCCAGAUCUACACAGACAACCUCACUUCCAUCCACACCUUCACACACACACCCGUCUACACCACCAUCUCCCGUGUCCACACGGCGGCCCCGCUCCAUCGGCCUGAGAGCAGCGACGGUGGCUUCGUCCCACGCGUCGUGUCUGGCCCGGGGGUGUCCGAGGAGCUCGGAGACCGUGUAGCCCGGGGUGCGGCCCCCCAGAGGGUGCCGUGGUCUCCAUUCGGAGGGCCCGGCUGUGGCGCUAGGAGUUGGGACACAAGGGUCUCGGCAGCACCCUGACCUCCACGCCCUCCUAGGAAAGACCACGCUGAUCAAGGCGCUGACGGGCGAUGCUGCCAUCCAGCCGCGGGACCAGCUGUUUGCCACGCUGGACGUCACGGCCCACGCGGGCACGCUGCCCUCACGCAUGACCGUCCUGUACGUGGACACCAUCGGCUUCCUCUCCCAGCUGCCGCACGGCCUCAUCGAGUCCUUCUCCGCCACUCUGGAAGACGUGGCCCACUCGGAUCUCAUCCUGCACGUGAGGGACAUCAGCCACCCCGAGGCGGAGCUCCAGAAAUGCAGCGUUCUGUCCACACUGCGCGGCCUGCAGCUGCCCGCCCCGCUCCUGGACUCCAUGGUGGAGAUUCACAACAAGGUGGACCUCGUGCCUGGGUACAGCCCCACGGAACCCAACGUCGUGCCUGUGUCUGCCCUGCGGGGCCAUGGGCUCCAGGAGCUGAAAGCUGAGCUCGAUGCGGCGGUUUUGAAGGCGACCGGGAGACAGAUCCUCACUCUCCGGCGUGAGGCUCGCAGGGCCAGCUCAGCUGGCUGCAUAAGGAGGCCACAGUUCAGGAGGUGGACGUGAUCCCUGAGGACGGGGCGGCCGACGUGAGGGUUAUCAUCAGCGACUCAGCCUACGGCAAAUUCCGGAAGCUCUUUCCAGGAUGAACGGACGCCCACAGAGGCCUGGGGAGUGGGGGCAUUGCUGCCUGGGGAGCUGAGGCGUUACCACUGUGUUGGGGCAGGCCUGGUGUCAGGUGCAGCAGGGUCCUCCUUGUCUGGUUGUGCGCCCGUCUCGUUCCCAGCCAUUUGCUGGGAUGACCGUGCAGGCCCGGUGACACGGCCGCACCUGCCCCAAAGCGGGCCACCGAGCGUUCCACUCCAAGCCUGAGCGUCCACACAAUUCCAGUGGGCCCUCGAUGCCUGUGUGAACUGCUUCCCUCGGAAUGUUUCGGUAGCAGGACAUAAACUUUGUUAUUUACUUCCGUGAGCAGCAUUUUCCAGUACCUCCUGCACCUGCCGUGAGCCGUGGCCCUGGUGGGCACCGACGGCCCCUCCGCCCGGCUGUCUGUGUUCACAGAUGGUCUCGUUUCCAUGGUGGUGUCGGGGAAAUGACGAAAAAUCAGGUUUCCCAGCAGCACAGAGAACCCUUCCACAAAAGUAGAAGGGAAAGCAAAUAGUUUUACUAAAGAAGCAGCUUCAAACCUGACC